CCUACGGGUGGCAGCAGUGAGGAAUAUUGGUCAAUGGGCGCGAGCCUGAACCAGCCAAGUAGCGUGAAGGAUGACGGCCCUAUGGGUUGUAAACUUCUUUUGUAAAGGAAUAAAGUGCGGCACGUGUGCCUCUUUGUAUGUUCCCUAUGGAUAAGGCUCGGCUAACUCCGUGCCAGCAGCCGCGGUAAUACGGAGGAUUCGGGGGUUUUUCGGCUUUAUUGGGUUUAAAGGGAGCGUCAAUCGGUGGGUAAGUCAGUUGUGAAAGUUUGCGGCCCAAACGUAAGAUUGCAAUUGAUACUGGCAGCCUUGAGUGCAGUUGAGGUAGGCGGAAUUCGUGGUGUAGCGGUGAAAUGCUUAGAUAUCACGAAGAACUCCGAUUGCGAAGGCAGCUUACUAAACUGCAACUGACAUUGAUGCUCGAAAGUGUGGGUAUCAAACAGGAUUAGAUACCCGAGUAGUC
rnacentral:rRNA from 1 species